GUUUGAUCCUGGCUCAGAGCGAACGUUUGCGGCGGGCCUAACACAUGCAAGUCGAACGGGCUAGCAAUAGUCAGUGGCGCACGGGUGCGUAACACGUGGGUAAUCAACCCUUCAGCUCGGGAUAACGCCUUGAAAGGGGCGCUAAUACCGGAUACGACGCGAGGAGCUUCGGCUGCUUGCGGGAAAGAUUCGCAAGGAUCUCUGAAGGACGAGCCUGCGGCCCAUCAGCUAGUUGGUGAGGUAAGAGCUCACCAAGGCGAAGACGGGUAGCUGGUCUGAGAGGAUGAUCAGCCACACUGGAACUGAGACACGGUCCAGACUCCUACGGGAGGCAGCAGUGGGGAAUAUUGCGCAAUGGGCGAAAGCCUGACGCAGCCACGCCGCGUGAGCGAUGAAGGCC
rnacentral:rRNA from 1 species